CGGGGCGCUGAACAUAAUGGUCUAUAAGUCCAAUUUCCAAUAUUGCUACUGAGUCAUCGGCUUCACGCAUUAGCUUUGAAAUGCCUCUCUGGGACUUGUUAAUAUAAUUAACGACGUAACUGCAGCAAGCAUAGGGUUCUAAUAUAAACUGGAUAUCUAUAUUCGCGCGCUGCAGUAGAAGGAGCAUCUUCUUCUAAUGGGAAUAGAAUUUCUGUUUGGGGCAUGGGAGGGUAUGGAAUAUCAAAUCUACA